AUGUUACUAGCUCUUUCAUCGACAAUUUUUAGGUUACAAUUCAUCCCAUCCCACCUAAUUAACCUUCGGUCCACCACAUAUUAGGAUACAUGAGGUAUAUGUUUAUAUAUUGCACAUAUGGUGGUUUGGUCCUAAGGCAAUCAGGGCCCUUUAUGAGAAAAAUGAACUAUUCCAUCCGUUUCAGGAUAUUUGUCUUUCUAGUUAAUCUCAUACAAAACAAGAAGCACUAAAAAGAUAUAAAAUAUUCCCAAAUUAAAUACACUACAAUCUUUGAUGCCUUACCCUCAUUGCCGGGUGCAUUUGGGUAGAGGGUGUGAUUUUUUUUUUUUUGACUAGGAUAUGAUUGGUUGUUGUGGCUGCAUUGGAUUUGGGGAGUGAAUGGUACUUUUUUUUUGAGGAAAAGAGUGAAUGGUACUUUGUGAUGUGACAAUGGCAAUUAGUUUGAGACCGGCACCAUACUGUAACGUAUUUUCUUUAGAUAAGUGGUGCGGGGACCUAGUGUGAGGUGCUCCCACAGCCCCACUGAAACUUUGAAAACGAGUUUUCGCAAAGGAGCUAGUAGAGCUUUAACUUGUGAGAGCGAUGAGGCAUGGUGCGUGAAUGCGUGCGUCGAACAAUCACCACUCAGGCCGUACUCGAUACGAACGUCGUCUAUGGGUGUAGUCUGACACGGUCGGAUCGUGCGACGAUGUAAUCACAAAUGGCCUGUUCGGUUGCGUGGUUCUUGUCCAGCCAGGCUCUCUCCGUCCCCAAAUGCAACUGCUAGCUAGCUAGCUAGUAGCAGUAAACAAACGACAAUCUAUCCACGCCAGCCCGGCCGGGCCGGUGCGCGUGCGCGAUUCUCUGUAGGCUUUCGGUGCGACGUCUCACUCAGCUCAGGAAACCUAGCUAGCGCUAGCACCGGCGGCGGCGUCCAAAACCACAGGAGCGACGAGCCGACCGAGCACGGUCAAUAGAAGAGGCCCCAAGGGGGAGCUGCACCCGUGCACCGUCCCCACUCGUACGUACACCCACGGCCGCCGCCGUCUCGCUUCGAGCAGAUCCGUCCACCGCCACCGCGCCACGGGCAUCCGACGUGGAGGCGGAAUCCUUUUCGUUUACGCGUGGUAGGCCGCCGCCGUAGGCGUCCGACCUGUAGUGUACUUGCGAGUCCAAAACUGGAUGCGCAUUGCCGCAUUGGAUGCCCGUCAUCGGCCCUGACCACCAAGAAGUCACCUGAUUUUACUCGUUGCUGCUCCUGCUCACCUGCCGAUGACUCGUUUCGACCCGUGACGGCGAAGGUCCAACCUGACAUGGACCGCGCGCUGUAGUGUAAUUCUAGAAGCCAUGCGUACGUACGAAGGUUCCAAUCAAGGGUUGAUGCGAGCGAUUUUGCUUUUUGUGAGUGCGUACGUGCACCGUGCGUUCAUAUGCUGUGACUGACAAAAGCAGCCGUCAGGUCACGCGGGUCGACGGCGUGCUUAUCUUCGUGGCCUCGUGGGUCCGACACGUCUCAAAAUUCCGUUUCUGGGACUGGAUUUUCCUGAUUCCCCGAGUGCAACAACUUCGGGGUGUAACAUGAUAUGGACUGCGUGCUGUCCGCGUGCACCCAUGAACCCCGAGCCUUUCCACGUACUACGCUCCUAACACUUGGUUUUUUUUUUUUUUGCAAUACCUAUUUUGAUGAACUAUUAUUGCUAUGAUUUGACUUUUAUGCCCUCUUCCACUGUUAAAACUGUUUAAAUUAUAUUAUAUUCCUCGAUUUUACAAGUGGGCUUCAAUAAUGUUUCAUCUUUUUUUUAGUUCUGAAAAUAUAAUAAAUACUGUACCUGACAUGGUUUAACAUGGGAAAUAUUUUGAUCUUCUAUCUAAUAAUCUUGAUAAAAAUCCUAGAAAUAGAUUGGGACAUUGCAAACUUAAAUAAAAUAUUUAGAGCUCACUAAAGUAUAUUUAAAAUAUUCUAAAAAUAGUAGCUCUAGAAAAAUGAAUAAAAAAAUGAAAAUCCUAAAACAUUUAUAAUUAAUGUGUAAACACAUUUUGAAACCCUUUCAUGACAAAACACAAGAUGCAACCACCAUAAAUGUACUUAACAUUAAUUUCUGUUGCAUUCUUGCUAGUUGUAUCUCAUAUUUUUGUUG
rnacentral:lncRNA from 1 species